rnacentral:rRNA from 1 species
UGGGGAAUCUUGCGCAAUGGGCGAAAGCCUGACGCAGCGACGCCGCGUGUGGGAUGAAGGUCUUCGGAUUGUAAACCACUGUCGGGAGGGACGAAGCUCUGACGGUACCUCCAAAGGAAGCACCGGCUAACUCUGUGCCAGCAGCCGCGGUAAUACAGAGGGUGCGAGCGUUGUCCGGAAUCACUGGGCGUAAAGGGCGCGUAGGCGGCCUGGUAAGUAGGGGGUGAAAUCUCAUGGCUCAACUGUGAGGCUGCCUUCUAGACUGCUGGGCUUGAGCACGGUAGAGGCUGGUGGAAUUCCCGGUGUAGCGGUGGAAUGCGUAGAGAUCGGGAGGAACAUCGGUGGCGAAGGCAGCUCACAAAACUGUAACUGACGCUGAGGCACGAAAGUGCGGGGAUCAAACAGGAUUAGAUACCCCCGUAGUCCCUGAGCGGGCUGGCAAGGCGCAU